GUUCCGAGCAGUACUUAGUGAGCUCUGGUCCUGGGCUGUGGAUAGGUCAGAGAAGGAAAGAAAAAGCCCAGAAGGUAUAUACGAGGUGUUUGACGCUGGCCAGGAGUCAAAGGCAGGAGGCUAUGGGCACUGGACCAGCCACAACUGAGUGAUGUUCAGGCUAUGGGCCGGCACCUUUCCAUCCACGACUCUCUCAGGUUCACAAGAUGAUCAUGACACACUAGCAAAAGACAUGCUGACAUGCAGCGCCAGCUGCAACCCUACUGAGACCUGUGGAAUUCAAGGGGUAAAUGAUUUCAAGUGACCUAUAUAUCCCAGAAAAGCCUUGGGAAUGCGAAUACUGUACCACAGAGGCCAUUUGCCUCUUCCUUCUCCCUCCUCCCCUACAUUCUGAAGGAAAGCUGAAUAGUUCUACAGGUUAAAAGAGGCCAAGAGAAAGUUGGAAAAUGAAUUGAAUUAAAAUGUUCAAAUGUGAAAAUAAAACUGAGUACUAACAGAGACCUAGAUUUCUGACAGCUAUAAACUUAUUAUAUGAUUUUUUUUAAGACAUCAUAAAUUACUAGGGAAAGUCAAAUGUUCCAAUCCUGGAAGGACCUGUCAGCUAUUUAAAGUAAAACAAAACAAAAUAGAUCCUUGCACCACUCACCAAGAUAAAGACAGAAGCAAUUUUAAGAAUUUAAGUAUAACACAGGCCCAGCCAGCUGUGCAGAUCAUAACAUACUGAACUACAGUGCUAUAAGGCACACGGACAGCUGCACCACUGGAUCCCACCCUGACCUGAAAACACAGCAGGUGCACGUGUAC